rnacentral:rRNA from 1 species
UAACGAAUCUUGGGCAAUGGGCGCAAGCCUGACCCAGCGACGCCGCGUGGAGGAUGAAGUCCUUCGGGAUGUAAACUCCUGUCAGGGGUUACCAAGUUCUGAGGAGCCCCAGAGGAAGUGGCGACUAACUCUGUGCCAGCAGUCGCGGUAAGACAGAGGCCACAAGCGUUAGGCGGAAUCACUGGGCUUAAAGCGUGUGUAGGCGGAUCGUUAAGUGCUUUGUGAAAUCCCACGGCUCACCCGUGGAAUGGCUUGGCAUACUGGCGAUCUUGAGCCAUCUAGGGGCCGCUGGAACUAACGGUGGAGCGGUGAAAUGCGUAGAUAUCGUUAGGAACGCCAAAGGUGAAAACAGGCGGCUGGGGAUGUGCUGACGCUGAGACACGAAAGCCAGGGGAGCAAA